rnacentral:rRNA from 1 species
GACGGAGGAUGCAAGUGUUAUCCGGAAUCACUGGGCGUAAAGCGUCUGUAGGUGGUCAAAUAAGUCAACUGUUAAAUCUUGAGGCUCAACUUCAAAAUCGCAGUCGAAACUAUUAGACUAGAGUAUAGUAGGGGUAAAGGGAAUUUCCAGUGGAGCGGUGAAAUACGUAGAGAUUGGAAAGAACACCGAUGGCGAAGUCACUUUACUGGGCUAUUACUAACACUCAGAGACGAAAGCUCGGGUAGCGAAUGGG